GGUGAACUUAGGUGAACGGGUGGAAUCUCCCUUACAAGGAGAGGGCCGCUGGUUCGACUCCAGCAUCGCCCA
rnacentral:tRNA from 1 species